rnacentral:tRNA from 2 species
GGGCGAUUAGCUCAGUUGGGAGAGCGCCUGCCUUACAAGCAGGAGGUCGCAGGAUCGUGCCCUGCAUCGCCCA